rnacentral:rRNA from 1 species
AUUGAACGCUAGCGGCAUGCCUUACACAUGCAAGUCGAACGGCAGCGCGGGGCAACCUGGCGGCGAGUGGCGAACGGGUGAGUAAUAUAUCGGAACGUACCCUGGAGUGGGGGAUAACGUAGCGAAAGUUACGCUAAUACCGCAUACGAUCUAAGGAUGAAAGUGGGGGAUUCGCAAGAACCUCAUGCUCCUGGAGCGGC